rnacentral:rRNA from 1 species
GCCAAACAGCUAGCUUAAUUUACCAAAAUAACUAAAAGACAUAGAUAACAUAAUACAACCGCAACCCAUAAAUCAAACCAUUUUUCCACCUUAGUACGGGAGACAGAAAAGGUCCUACCAAGCAAUAGAAAAAGUACCGCAAGGGAAAGCUGAAAAAGAAAUGAAAUAACCCAUAUAAGCGCCAAAAAGCAGAGACUCAGCCUCGUACCUUUUGCAUCAUGAUUUAGCCAGCAUAUUCAGGCAAAGAGACCUUAAGUCUGAAACCCCGAAACCAAGUGAGCUACCCCGGGACAGCCAACGUGGGCCAACCCGUCUCUGUGGCAAAAGAGUGGGAAGAUCUCCGGGUAGAGGUGACAGACCUACCGAACUUGGUGAUAGCUGGUUGCCUAAGAAAUGAAUAGAAGUUCAGCCUCGUGCCCCUUAAGUUAAUUUAGUAAUAUCUGAUAUAACACAAAAAGCAAAACACGAGAGUUAGUUAAAGGGGGUACAGCCCCUUUAACACAGGAUACAACCUUAACAGGAGGAUAAAGAUCAUAUUUUGUAAAACACGUCGUCUCAGUGGGCCUAAAAGCAGCCACCUGUACAGAAAGCGUUAAAGCUCAAACGACACAAAGUUUAUUAUUCCGAUAAAAAAUCUUACUCCCCUAAAUCUAUUGGGCUAUUCCAUGCUAACAUGGAAGAAACCAUGCUAGAAUGAGUAACAAGGGGGCCCAACCCCCUCCAAGACACAAGUGUAAGCCAGAUCGGACAAACCACUGGCAAUUAACGAACCCAAAAAAAGAGGGAAGCGUAGCAACAAACCAAAUUCAAGAAAACUCCACAGCACAAAAAUCGUUACCCCCACACUGGAGUGUCACCAAGGAAAGACUAAAAGAAAGGGAAGGAACUCGGCAAACAUAAGCCUCGCCUGUUUACCAAAAACAUCGCCUCCUGCAAACCUCAAAGUAUAGGAGGUCCAGCCUGCCCAGUGACCACAAGUUCAACGGCCGCGGUAUUUUGACCGUGCAAAGGUAGCGCAAUCACUUGUCUUUUAAAUGAAGACCUGUAUGAAUGGCCAAACGAGGGCUUAGCUGUCUCCCCUUUCAAGUCAGUGAAAUUGAUCUAUCCGUGCAGAAGCGGAUAUGCAAGUACAAGACGAGAAGACCCUUUGGAGCUUAAGGUACAGACCCAAUCAUGUUAAACAACUCAAUAAACAGCACAAACCUAGUGAAUAUAAUGGAAUCUUACCUUCGGUUGGGGCGACCGCGGAGAAUAAAAGAUCCUCCAUGUGGAUUGAGCCAACAAAGCUUAAAACCAAGAAAGACAUUUCAAAGUCACAGAAUAUCUGACCAACUAUGAUCCGGCCCACCUUGGGCCGAUCAACGAACCAAGUUACCCUAGGGAUAACAGCGCAAUCCUCUCCCAGAGUCCAUAUCGACGAGGGGGUUUACGACCUCGAUGUUGGAUCAGGACAUCCUAAUGGUGCAGCCGCUAUUAAGGGUUCGUUUGUUCAACGAUUAAAGUCCUACGUGAUCUGAGUUCAGACCGGAGUAAUCCAGGUCAGUUUCUAUCUGUAACGCCACUCUCCCUAGUACGAAAGGACCGGGAAAGAGGGGCCAACGCUAAAAGCGCGCCCCACCCCUAAUUGAUGAAAACAACUAAAUCAAAUAAAGGGAGGGCAAACAAACCAGCCUAGAUAAGGCCAC